CUCUCAUCAGAAGAUCACCAGCAAUCUUUACUAUCUGAAGAGCCAGUUUUGGAGAGAAAGGGGGAAAAAACCUGUUUGGAGAAAAAAAAAUAACACUUUAAAUGCAGGUACCACAGCCAAUUAGUCUAAGGGGCGGUUUCCCAGACAGUGUUUAAAUUAGGCCAAGACUGGGCCUUAAUUUAGAAUAGUUAAUCACUGCUCAAUAAACGGCUUUCUGAAACACAGACUAAUUAGAGAUUAAGAACACCUGGAUUAUGAAGUCUUGAACUAAAGUAAACGAGAUUAAUUUAAAAUCUCCUGUGCAAGUCUGAAUUAGCUGGACUGAGGUUGCCUGUAAAACCUAGACCCCAGAAAAGCCUAAAACAUAAGGAACUGGAGAAGUAAAUUCAAGGAAAACAAUGGCAGCAGAAAAGAAAAAAAAAUUUUCAGUAAGCAUGAGAAAAGUCUUAAAGACAAUAGUAUCAAGACACCCAGGCAUUGAAGACAAACGGCACACAUCUGCUGUGGAAUCAAAAAGGAAUGCAUGGAAAUUCAUCUGUAAUGAAUUUAAUGCAAAUGAACAAACAUCCAUAAGAACAAUACAACAGCUUCAGGUUUUGUGGAAGAAUAUAAAAGUCAACCCAAAAAAAAUUGCUGCAGAAGCCCAAAGAGAGGUUUAAGACUGAUGGAGGACCUGCAAAUAAAGCUACUGAUCAGUUGGAUGACUUACUGACAGAAUAAUGGAGAACCAGCAACCUUUGGAGAACAUACCAGAUGAUGACCAUCUAGACAGUUCAGAUGAGGGAUAACACGAAUACUACAAUGGGAGAAAGUCAAAGGGACAUAACUGAAGUGAUGCAAGGUAACUUACCCUCCACAUCCUCAGAAGCUAGGGUGGCAGUGUCUACCAGUACUGGUCACCAAAACAAGAGUCCCAAUCCACACAAAGUUGGCUAUUGAAUUUCAUGAACACAAGUUGAAGUACCUUAGGGAGGAGCAUGAAAUGAAGAUCCAAGUAAAACUGGAAAUGAAGAUGAAAGAAAGAGAGAUGCAACUGUC